rnacentral:rRNA from 1 species
AUUGAACGCUGGCGGCAGGCCUAACACAUGCAAGUCGAGCGGAUGAAGAGAGCUUGCUCUCUGAUUCAGCGGCGGACGGGUGAGUAAUGCCUAGGAAUCUGCCUGGUAGUGGGGGACAACGUUUCGAAAGGAACGCUAAUACCGCAUACGUCCUACGGGAGAAAGUGGGGGAUCUUCGGACCUCACGCUAUCAGAUGAGCCUAGGUACGAUUAGCUAGUUGGUGAGGUAAAGGCUCACCAAGGCGACGAUCGUUAACUGGUCUGAGAGGAUGAUCAGUCACACUGGAACUGAGACACGGUCCAGACUCCUACGGGAGGCAGCAGUGGGGAAUAUUGGACAAUGGGCGAAAGCCUGAUCCAGCCAUGCCGCGUGUGUGAAGAAGGUCUUCGGAUUGUAAAGCACUUUAAGUUGGGAGGAAGGGCAGUAAGUUAAUACCUUGCUGUUUUGACGUUACCGACAGAAUAAGCACCGGCUAACUUCGUGCCAGCAGCCGCCGUAAGAC